UACGUAGGAGGCGAGCGUUGUCCGGAUUUACUGGGCGUAAAGCGCACGUAGGCGGAUCGUUAAGUCGGGGGUGAAAUCCUGGAGCUCAACUCCAGAACUGCCUUCGAUACUGGCGAUCUUGAGUCCGGAAGAGGUGAGUGGAACUCCUAGUGUAGAGGUGGAAUUCGUAGAUAUUAGGAAGAACACCAGUGGCGAAGGCGGCUCACUGGUCCGGUACUGACGCUGAGGUGCGAAAGCGUGGGGAGCAAACAGG
rnacentral:rRNA from 1 species